UCGAGAAUCUUCCGCAAUGGACGAAAGUCUGACGGAGCGACGCCGCGUGAUGGAUGAAGUCCCUCUGGGACGUAAACAUCUUUUAUGAGGGAGAAAGUUUAUUGAUAGUACCUCACGAAUAAGGGGUUGCUAAACUCGUGCCAGCAGCAGCGGUAAUACGAGUGCCCCGAGCGUUAUCCGGAAUCAUUGGGCGUAAAGGGUGUGUAGGUGGCAUUGUUAGUCACACGUUAAACCCUGGGGCUUAACCCCAGAUCUGCGUGUGAUACGGCAAAGCUAGAGGAUGGCAGGGAUGUAUGGAACUCAUGGAGUAGGGGUGAAAUCCGUUGAUAUCAUGGGGAACACCGAAAGCGAAGGCAGUACAUUGGGCCACUCCUGACACUGAAACACGAAAGCGUGGGUAGCGAAUGGGAUUAGAUACCCAGGUAGUCCCUGAGCGGGCUGGCAAGGCGCAU
rnacentral:rRNA from 1 species